rnacentral:sRNA from 1 species
UCAUCCCGGCUGAUGGAACGACCAUCGUGAAAUGACCACUGGCGGCUACCCUGGCGUGGUGCGUCUUCCCCCGGGGAGGGCGCAAAGCCGACAGCCGUCGCACUCCAGGGAGCACAUCCAUG